rnacentral:lncRNA from 1 species
GUGAAAUGUCAAGCUGCUAGAUAACAAGAUUUGUCUACGUCAAACACAGAUGAAAGUCCCAGCAACAUUGACUUGGCAUGUCAUCUUUUAAACCAAAAGAGACAUGGUUUAAGUCAAAAGAUUGAGGAAGCUAUUUCAACAGCAAAAAGAUACUGCCUUCCUUGAAUGAGAUUACCUGAAGGCUGGAUUUGAAGAGCCUAGGAGAGUUGGGCAAACUGGACAGAAGUUUGAAUUGAGAGACCAAGGCUUGAGUUUUGCAAAUAACAUGGAUUUUUCCGUUGUCUCUGCUGUACAUGAGGUAGAGUCAAAUAGAAUAAACUGAGCUGACGCUGACCUUUAUUUUUUUUUAAAGACCCACAGGGAAUUUCUCCAAUAUGACCUGGCCCCAUGGCUCCCUUCCUGAAGACAGACCUGGCUGUGGAUUUUAUAAUGAGCUCUGUGAAACUCAGUCUGCUUUUACGGCUGCCAUCAUAGGUCUGAUUUUAAGGAUGCAGAGGCAAAACAAAGACGUCUGGUGGCAAAUCAAUUUUGAUGAUAUCACCAUUCUUCCCCAGAACAAGGUGAGGCCAUAUGUGACCCAGAUGUCCCCUUUCCUGGUCACUGCUGGAGAUGUGUGGAAGGGACCUCAUCUAGGAGCUUAUAAGAGCAAGAGGCUAAUUUAUUCAGUGAGCACUUCAUGAAGAGUCUGCAGGCCUGAGUUCUGGUUCUAGGCCUCCCACUUGCUUGCUGAAUCUGAG